CAGCCGCCGCGGUAAUACGUAGGGGGCGAGCGUUGUCCGGAAUUAUUGGGCGUAAAGCGCGCGCAGGCGGUCCUUUAAGUCUGAUGUGAAAGCCCACGGCUCAACCGUGGAGGGUCAUUGGAAACUGGGGGACUUGAGUGCAGGAGAGGAGAGCGGAAUUCCACGUGUAGCGGUGAAAUGCGUAGAGAUGUGGAGGAACACCAGUGGCGAAGGCGGCUCUCUGGCCUGUAACUGACGCUGAGGCGCGAAAGCGUGGGGAGCAAACAGGAUUAGAUACCCGGGUAGUCCACGCCGUAAACGAUGAGUGCUAAGUGUUAGAGGGGUCACACCCUUUAGUGCUGCAGCUAACGCGAUAAGCACUCCGCCUGGGGAGUACGGCCGCAAGGCUGAAACUUAAAGGAAUUGGCGGG
rnacentral:rRNA from 1 species